rnacentral:rRNA from 1 species
AUACGGAGGGUGCAAGCGUUAUUCGGAAUCACUGGGCGUAAAGGACGCGUAGGCGGGUUGGCAAGCCAGAUGUGAAAUCCUACAGCUUAACUGUAGAACUGCAUUUGAAACUGCUAACCUAGAGUAUGGGAGGGGGAGAUGGAAUUAGUGGUGUAGGGGUAAAAUCCGUAGAUAUCACUAGGAAUACCGAAAGCGAAGGCGAUCUCCUGGAACAUAACUGACGCUAAGGCGUGAAAGCGUGGGGAGCAAACAGGAUUAGAAACCCUAGUAGUCC